GUGGCGCACGGGUGAGUAACGCGUAUACAAUCUGCCUUUUACAGGGGGAUAGCCUUUAGAAAUGAAGAUUAAUAUCCCAUAGUAAGUUGUUAUUGCAUGAUAGUAACUUUAAAGUUUCGGCGGUAAAAGAUGAGUAUGCGUUCUAUUAGCUAGAUGGUGUGGUAACGGCACACCAUGGCGACGAUAGAUAGGGGCCCUGAGAGGGGGAUCCCCCACACUGGUACUGAGACACGGACCAGACUCCUACGGGAGGCAGCAGUGAGGAAUAUUGGACAAUGGGCGAGAGCCUGAUCCAGCCAUGCCGCGUGCAGGAAGACUGCCCUAUGGGUUGUAAACUGCUUUUAUACAGGAAGAAACCUUUUCACGUGUGAAAAGCUGACGGUACUGUAAGAAUAAGGAUCGGCUAACUCCGUGCCAGCAGCCGCGGUAAUA
rnacentral:rRNA from 1 species